AUUGAACGCUGGCGGCAGGCCUAACACAUGCAAGUCGAGCGGAGCGGCGGACGGGUGAGUAAUGCCUAGGAAUCUGCCUGGUGGUGGGGGAUAACGUCCGGAAACGGACGCUAAUACCGCAUAAUAUCAAAUCAGCCUAGGUCGGAUUAGCUAGUUGGUGGGGUAAAGGCCUACCAAGGCGACGAUCCGUAUCUGGUCUGAGAGGAUGAUCAGUCACACUGGAACUGAGACACGGGCCAGACUCCUACGGGAGGCAGCAGUGGGGAAUAUUGGACAAUGGGCGAAAGCCUGAUCCAGCCAUGCCGCGUGUGUGAAGAAGGUCUUCGGAUUGUAAAGCACUUUAAGUUGGGAGGCGUUACCAACAGAAUAAGCACCGGCUAACUUCGUGCCAGCAGCCGCGGUAAUUC
rnacentral:rRNA from 1 species